rnacentral:rRNA from 1 species
GCAUAUCAAUAAGCGGAGGAAAAGAAACUAACAAGGAUUCCCCUAGUAACUGCGAGUGAAGCGGGAAAAGCUCAAAUUUAAAAUCUGGCGGUCUUUGGCCGUCCGAGUUGUAGUCUGGAGAAGUGCUUUCCGCGCUGGACCGUGUAUAAGUCUCUUGGAACAGAGCGUCAUAGAGGGUGAGAAUCCCGUCUUUGACACGGACUACCAGUGCUUUGUGAUGCGCUCUCAAAGAGUCGAGUUGUUUGGGAAUGCAGCUCAAAAUGGGUGGUGAAUUCCAUCUAAAGCUAAAUAUUGGCGAGAGACCGAUAGCGAACAAGUACCGUGAGGGAAAGAUGAAAAGCACUUUGGAAAGAGAGUUAAACAGUACGUGAAAUUGCUGAAAGGGAAACGCUUGAAGUCAGUCGCGUUGUCCGGAACUCAGCCUUGCUUUCGCUUGGUGCACUUUCCGGAUGACGGGUCAGCAUCGAUUUUGACCGUCGGAAAAGGGCUGGAGUAAUGUGGCACCUCCGGGUGUGUUAUAGACUCUGGUCGCAUACGACGGUUGGGAUCGAGGAACGCAGCGCGCCGCAAGGCAGGGGUUCGCCCACUUUCGCGCUUAGGAUGCUGGCAUAAUGGCUUUAAACGACCCGUCUUGAAACACGGACCAAGGAGUCUAACAUACCUGCGAGUGUUUGGGUGGAAAACCCGAGCGCGUAAUGAAAGUGAAAGUUGAGAUCCCUGUCGUGGGGAGCAUCGACGCCCGGACCUGACGUUCUCUGACGGAUCCGCGGUAGAGCAUGUAUGUUGGGACCCGAAAGAUGGUGAACUAUGCCUGAAUAGGGUGAAGCCAGAGGAAACUCUGGUGGAGGCUCGUAGCGAUUCUGACGUGCAAAUCGAUCGUCAAAUUUGGGUAUAGGGGCGAAAGACUAAUCGAACC